UCAGGUCGCCAUAUAUAUCGCUCUUUCUUGGGGAAUCGCGGAAUCUUUUCUUCUCUCCAUCGCCCGCCGGUCGUUAAGGAAGGCCUCAUUUCGCCGCCCAACGAAACCCUCUCCCUUUCUCUCUUCUCGCUUCGAUUCCUCCGUCGCCGCGUUAUCCGAGGAUAGGAGCUGCGAUUCAUCGAACAUGCCGACCGGUAAUCGCCCGGUCAUGCCGCCGAUCAGGUCGCCAUAUAUAUCGCUCUUUCUUGGGGAAUCGCGGAAUCUUUUCUUCUCUCCAUCGCCCGCCGGUCGUUAAGGAAGGCCUCAUUUCGCCGCCCAACGAAACCCUCUCCCUUUCUCUCUUCUCGCUUCGAUUCCUCCGUCGCCGCGUUAUCCGAGGAUAGGAGCUGCGAUUCAUCGAACAUGCCGACCGGUAAUCGCCCGGUCAUGCCGCCGAUCAGGUCGCCAUAUAUAUCGCUCUUUCUUGGGGAAUCGCGGAAUCUUUUCUUCUCUCCAUCGCCCGCCGGUCGUUAAGGAAGGCCUCAUUUCGCCGCCCAACGAAACCCUCUCCCUUUCUCUCUUCUCGCUUCGAUUCCUCCGUCGCCGCGUUAUCCGAGGAUAGGAGCUGCGAUUCAUCGAACAUGCCGACCGGUAAGAGUAACUGCCUCCUCGCUUAUAUUCACCAUGAUUGCCGACGGAUUUGAUCUCCGGUAACAAUUACAAGAAUUUUCUUGUUUCACAAAUGUGCCUCAAGGGGUUUUCUUUCCUUUUUUUUUCCCCCCCAAUUCGGUCGAUUUAAUCUGGGCCGAGAAUAAGUGGGAAUUAAUCAUUUGAUCAUUAUAUUUUUCUCCGAAGCCUGAAUCGCGUCUAUUCACCCGAUGAAAAGUUGGUAACUCUGCGAUCGUUCUUGAUUAUGGACCAGGGCGAACUAUAUCUUAAUGUUCAUCCCUUGUUGCAUGCUUACGCACGUAAUCUUAACGGAAAUAAUCUAAUGUUAUUUGAGGAAUUCUAAUCCAACAAAUCUUGUAAAGUCUGUUGCGAGCCCUACCAAGAAUGCGUUAGUGUCAAAUGGAAAAAACAAAUCUUUCCACCCGUGGAAAUCGGCACUAGUCAACCUCCCUUUGAAUUUAAAAGUCAGUUGUGUGCUUUAAGUGGUGUAUCCCCUGAGAGGCAAAAAAUUAUGGUCCAGGGUGGUCUUCUGAAGAAAAGGUGCAGUUAACUGGAAUUUAUGACUUGGUCGCUGUGUUGACUCACAAGGGAAGGAGUGCCGACUAUGUCUUCUGGGUGAAACAAGAAAAUGGUGCGUGCUUAAUAAGCUCAUAGGUUCUUUUAUGCUUGCUCUUUUUAUGUUCCUUGUGUAGCUCCUUUUGACGCAGGAAAAUGGAUUCAGUACGAUGAUCACAAUCCAAUCCUGCAAAGGGUAGAAAGGAUAUUACAAAGCUAUCUGGCGGCAGUAAGACUCUUCAAGAGAAAUCACACACGAUCGAUCUACAUUUUUUUUUCUUUUUCUCUUUUGAAUAAGCUCUCACAAAUGAACCAUAUAACAUUUUUUUUCUGGCAGGUGAUUGGCACAUGGCAGAAACAUCUGCAUGGAUAAAGCCCAAGCUGGUUUGAUACGAUGGAACAUUGAGGAAAAAAAGAAGAAGAAAAUUUUAAGAUGAAAAUGCCUCUAUAUUGUUUGUAAUAUAACCUAUUUUGUAUUGAUUAUUGUUUGAUAUAUGGUCCCCUCAAGUGUGCUACAUCCUUUUGUGUUUUUCUGAUCAUCAAGGUACCUCUGUCCAAGAAGUUGGGUGAUCCAGAACGAAAUUACAGGAACCGUUUGCAUCAUU